UACGUAGGGGGCGAGCGUUGUCCGGAAUCAUUGGGCGUAAAGCGCGUGUAGGCGGUUCGGUAAGUCCGCUGUGAAAGUCGGGGGCUCAACCCUCGGAUGCCGGUGGAUACUGUCGGGCUUGAGUACGGAAGAGGCGAGUGGAAUUCCUGGUGUAGCGGUGAAAUGCGCAGAUAUCAGGAGGAACACCAUUGCGAAGGCAGCUCAGCUGGGACGUUACUGACGCUGAGACGCGAAGCGUGGGAGCAAACAGG
rnacentral:rRNA from 1 species